UGGGGAAUAUUGGACAAUGGGCGCAAGCCUGAUCCAGCCAUGCCGCGUGUGUGAAGAAGGCCUUUUGGUUGUAAAGCACUUUAAGCGAGGCGGAGGCUACUUGGAUUAAUACUCUAGGAUAGUGGACGUUACUCGCAGAAUAAGCACCGGCUAACUCUGUGCCAGCAGCCGCGGUAAUACAGAGGGUUCGAGCGUUAAUCGGAUUUACUGGGCGUAAAGCGUGCGUAGGCGGCUUUUUAAGUCGGAUGUGAAAUCCCUGAGCUUAACUUAGGAAUUGCAUUCGAUACUGGGAAGCUAGAGUAUGGGAGAGGAUGGUAGAAUUCCAGGUGUAGCGGUGAAAUGCGUAGAGAUCUGGAGGAAUACCGAUGGCGAAGGCAGACAUCUGGCCUAAUACUGACGCUGAGGUACGAAAGCAUGGGGAGCAAACAGG
rnacentral:rRNA from 1 species